UACGUAGGGGCCUAGCGUUGUCCGGAUUUAUUGGGCGUAAAGAGCUCGUAGGCGGUUCGGCAAGUCGGAUGUGAAAUCUCCACGCUCAACGUGGAGGGGCCAUUCGAAACUGCCGUGACUUGAGUCCGGUAGGGGAGUGUGGAAUUCCCGGUGUAGCGGUGAAAUGCGCAGAUAUCAGGAGGAACACCGGUGGCGAAGGCGGUUCUCUGGGCCUUACCUGACGCUGAGACGCGAAAGCGUGGGGAGCGAACAGG
rnacentral:rRNA from 1 species